UACGAAGGGGGCUAGCGUUGCUCGGAAUUACUGGGCGUAAAGGGCGCGUAGGCGGAUAGUUUAGUCAGAGGUAAAAGCCCAGGGCUCAACCUUGGAACUGCCUUUGAUACUGAAGGAUCUUGAGUUCGGGAGAGGUGAGUGGAACUGCGAGUGUAGAGGUGAAAUUCGUAGAUAUUCGCAAGAACACCAGUGGCGAAGGCGGCUCACUGGCCCGAUACUGACGCUGAGGCACGAAAGCGUGGGGAGCAAACAGG
rnacentral:rRNA from 1 species